rnacentral:misc_RNA from 1 species
GCCACCGCGCUUGCCCGCGGGAUUCGCCUGAUCGCACUGCCCGUAAUAGCCCGCGCGGCAAUACGAACAAUUGCCACACGCGAUCGUCGACGGGAUCACGACGCGAUCGCCGACCUCGAGAUUGCGCACCUCUUCGCCCAGCUCCUCGACGACGCCGACGCCCUCGUGCCCGAGGAUCGUUCCGGGCUUCAUCCCCGAGAACGUGCCGCGCACGAAGUGGAGAUCGGU